GGGGCCUUGCCUCCGUAUCCUAUCAAGUGUGACGUGGCUUUGUUCGUGACACUCGAUAGGAUACGGGGGUAAAGGCGCCU
rnacentral:pre_miRNA from 1 species